ensembl:lncRNA novel transcript, antisense to LGR5
AGCCAGCACGGCACUGGAGACUCCCGUGAGCAUGUUCACUGCUGCGAUGACCCCAAUUAACAGUUUAAUGGGGGAAAUGUACAGAGGGGAUCUGAAAACUGUUGAAGUCACCAAAGCAUUACAAGAUGCCAAGAGAUAAUGGUCAAAAACAGCCUAAUAACACACAGUGCCCAUGUGCAUGCUCCACUAUCUCAAGCCACUGUCACCCUGGAUCUUCUGCAGCACUGGCUGGAAUCAGUGGUGGAUACUGCCGUUGAGGAAUUUUUGAUGCCUUUCUCACCUGGGGAAGGUGAACACUGCACUGAAUGAAGGGCUUUCAGGUCUUCCUCAAAGUCAAGCAGGAAAUCUUCAAGGUCACGUUCAUCUGCAGCACAAGAAGUCCUGGAAUGAUUAGUUCUGACUCUCUUUUCAAGGGACCAAAUCCCAGAGUGGAGAGUCCUGGGUUAUUCUGGAGACAUGAACUGUCACAAAUUCCUUGUGCUCUAGCUUUCUUGCAAGUUAUUAUAAAGUUGCCUUUGGAUGUUUGA